rnacentral:tRNA from 1 species
GUGUUUGUAGUCCAAUGGUUAGGAUAAUUUCCUUCCAAGCAAUAGACCCGGGUUCGACUUCGGCAAACGCA